rnacentral:rRNA from 1 species
AUUGAACGCUGACGGCAUGCUUAACACAUGCAAGUCGAGCGAGCGGCGGACGGGUGAGUAAUGUCUGGGAAACUGCCUGAUGGAGGGGGAUAACUACUGUAAACGUUAGCUAAUACCGCAUACCAUCAGAUGUGCCCAGGUGGGAGUAGCUAGUAGGUGGGGUAAUGGCUCACCUAGGCGACGAUCCCUAGCUGGUCUGAGAGGAUGACCAGCCACACUGGGACGGAGACACGGUCCAGACUCCUCCGGGAGGCAGCAGUGGGGAAUAUUGCACAAUGGGAGCAAGCCUGAUGCAGCCAUGCCGCGUGGGUGAAGAAGGCCUUCGGGUUGUAAAGCACUUUCAGCGAGGAGGCGUUACUCGCAGAAGAAGCACCGGCUAACUCCGUGCCAGCAGCCGCGGUAAUUC